GAAGCAAUUUUACGACGCCAGCAGUAAGUAUAUCUGUUUCAUUUGCUCGUGAGAUACAACAAUUAUGGUAGUAUUGUUUGCUGGAAGUUAUAUUGAUUUGGAACCUAAAGGGCUAAUUGAGAAACUGUAGCAUCAUUUCAUUUUGUGUGAUUGUUAUUAGUUAGAUUACGUGAUUGGGAGACUUUAUAUUAUUGUUUCGUUAGGGAUUUCCAAAAUGGUUCUGCGAAUAUUUGUAAAAAGUUCUGUUGGAAG
rnacentral:misc_RNA from 1 species